UACAGAGGUCCCAAGCGUUGUUCGGAUUCACUGGGCGUAAAGGGUGCGUAGGUGGUGGGGUAAGUCGGAUGUGAAAGCUCGGAGCUCAACUCCGAAAUGGCAUUGGAAACUACCCUGCUAGAGGAUUGGAGGGGGGACUGGAAUACUUGGUGUAGCAGUGAAAUGCGUAGAUAUCAAGUGGAACACCAGUGGCGAAGGCGAGUCCCUGGACAAUACCUGACACUGAGGCACGAAAGCGUGGGGAGCAAACAGG
rnacentral:rRNA from 1 species